UACGUAGGGUGCGAGCGUUGUCCGGAAUUAUUGGGCGUAAAGAGCUUGUAGGUGGUUUGUCGCGUCUGCUGUGAAAAUCCGGGGCUCAACCCCGGACUUGCAGUGGGUACGGGCAGACUAGAGUGUGGUAGGGGAGACUGGAAUUCCUGGUGUAGCGGUGGAAUGCGCAGAGUAUCAGGAGGAACACCGAUGGCGAAGGCAGGUCUCUGGGCCAUUACUGACACUGAGAAGCGAAAGCAUGGGGGAGC
rnacentral:rRNA from 1 species